rnacentral:rRNA from 1 species
GCUGGCGGCGUGCCUAAUACAUGCAAGUAGAACGCUGAAGAGAGGAGCUUGCUCUUCUUGGAUGAGUUGCGAACGGGUGAGUAACGCGUAGGUAACCUGCCUUGUAGCGGGGGAUAACUAUUGGAAACGAUAGCUAAUACCGCAUAACAAUGGAUGACACAUGUCAUUUAUUUGAAAGGGGCAAAUGCUCCACUACAAGAUGGACCUGCGUUGUAUUAGCUAGUAGGUGAGGUAACGGCUCACCUAGGCGACGAUACAUAGCCGACCUGAGAGGGUGAUCGGCCACACUGGGACUGAGACACGGCCCAGACUCCUACGGGAGGCAGCAGUAGGGAAUCUUCGGCAAUGGGGGCAACCCUGACCGAGCAACGCCGCGUGAGUGAAGAAGGUUUUCGGAUCGUAAAGCUCUGUUGUAAGUCAAGAACGAGUGUGAGAGUGGAAAGUUCACACUGUGACGGUAGCUUACCAGAAAGGGACGGCUAACUACGUGCCAGCAGCCGCGGUAAUACGUAGGUCCCGAGCGUUGUCCGGAUUUAUUGGGCGUAAAGCGAGCGCAGGCGGUUUGAUAAGUCUGAAGUUAAAGGCUGUGGCUCAACCAUAGUUCGCUUUGGAAACUGUCAAACUUGAGUGCAGAAGGGGAGAGUGGAAUUCCAUGUGUAGCGGUGAAAUGCGUAGAUAUAUGGGGGAACACCGGUGGCGAAAGCGGCUCUCUGGUCUGUAACUGACGCUGAGGCUCGAAAGCGUGGGGAGCGAACAGGAUUAGAUACCCUGGUAGUCCACGCCGUAAACGAUGAGUGCUAGGUGUUGGAUCCUUUCCGGGAUUCAGUGCCGCAGCUAACGCAUUAAGCACUCCGCCUGGGGAGUACGACCGCAAGGUUGAAACUCAAAGGAAUUGACGGGGGCCCGCACAAGCGGUGGAGCAUGUGGUUUAAUUCGAAGCAACGCGAAGAACCUUACCAGGUCUUGACAUCCCGAUGCUAUUUCUAGAGAUAGAAAGUUACUUCGGUACAUCGGUGACAGGUGGUGCAUGGUUGUCGUCAGCUCGUGUCGUGAGAUGUUGGGUUAAGUCCCGCAACGAGCGCAACCCCUAUUGUUAGUUGCCAUCAUUCAGUUGGGCACUCUAGCGAGACUGCCGGUAAUAAACCGGAGGAAGGUGGGGAUGACGUCAAAUCAUCAUGCCCCUUAUGACCUGGGCUACACACGUGCUACAAUGGUUGGUACAACGAGUUGCGAGUCGGUGACGGCAAGCUAAUCUCUUAAAGCCAAUCUCAGUUCGGAUUGUAGGCUGCAACUCGCCUACAUGAAGUCGGAAUCGCUAGUAAUCGCGGAUCAGCACGCCGCGGUGAAUACGUUCCCGGGCCUUGUACACACCGCCCGUCACACCACGAGAGUUUGUAACACCCGAAGUCGGUGAGGUAACCUUUUGGAGCCAGCCGCCUAAGGUGGGAUAGAUGAUUGGGGUGAAG